UGUCUUCUUUUCUUUUGUCUUCGUAGCUUUUGUGUUAUGUUUCGGAGGAGGGAAAAAGUAAAAUAAAGGCAAAAUAAUAUUAUUCAUUUUAUAUUAUUAUUUUACAUUCUUUGUUUCAAUUCGCAUAAAAUAAUAGUGUAAAAUAAUUUUAUUUUAGUUACGAUGCAUGAAUAGUAACUUUUCGUCUAUUAUAUUAUUAUUU
rnacentral:lncRNA from 1 species